UUUAAUCAACAAACAAUCGUCUUCUCCCUAAUUCCCCCUUCUCAGUUCUCACUCAUCUUCUCCCUAAUUCCCCCUUCCCUACUUAAUUAGGGAUAGCAGCAACAAUAGAAAAUAGCAGCAACAGGUUCAGCGAAAUCAGGUUGUUUUCUCCAACAAUUGAAUUCAUCAAUUACACUGCAGAAGGAGAUAUAGAGUUGGGUUAUUCUUGAUUAGGUUGUUGUCUACAGAAGUUACUCAGGUGAGAGAUUUAAUAAAUAUGAAGCAAUUUAUGUCGAGAUUUGAAGUAAUUUAUUCGCCAAACUCCUCUGGUAUAAACAACAACAUGUGAAUCAUCAGGAUGUAAAGCUUCAACCUCCCUUCUUACUUCUUCAACAGCAACAUUAUGGUCAGUAGAUAAUCUUUCUGCAACAACAACUGAACUCCUUCUCCCAUCAGAAACUCUUGUUCCAAGUACAGCUCUUGAGUCCCCAAGAUUAGCAACAUAUAAAAUAUCCCCAGAAAUAGCUCCAACCAAACAACAAGAUCCAACAGAAGCAAUUUGAGGAUGUGAAGUCCAUGAUUGUUUAACUAAUCUUAAAAAUUCUUGUUCAGUUGCAUCAAAUGCUUUCUUUAUUACAUCAACAGAUAAUCCACCUUGUUCAGAAGCCAAUUCUAAAAAAAAAAAAAAUCAAAACUUGAGUUAAAUUUGAUAAUAAAAGUUGAAAAAUUGAAAAAGGGGGGUUUGAAGAAUGAAGAAGAAGAAGAAGUGGGAUUGUUUUGUUGGUGAAUUAUUGUUUUUGUAUUACAGUGAAAUAUUGUUUGUAUGAAUUAUUGUUUGUAUACAGUGAAAUAUUGUUUGUACAGUGAAUUAGUAUUAUAACGAGCCAAACGAGCCAGCGAGCCGAAACGAGCCGAGCUCGAGUUUUACUUUUGGCUCGCGAGCCGAGCUCGAGCUCAUAGUUCAGCUCGAUCCUAAUUUUGAGCUCGGCUCGGUUAGUAACGAGCCGAGUUCGAGCAUACCUUAGCUCGGCUCGAGCGGCUCGAAUUG
rnacentral:lncRNA from 1 species